rnacentral:rRNA from 1 species
ACAUAUCAAUAAGCGGAGGAAAAGAAACCAACAGGGAUUGCUCUAGUAACGGCGAGUGAAGCAGCAAUAGCUCAAAUUUGAAAUCUGGCGUCUUCGACGUCCGAGUUGUAAUUUGUAGAGGAUGCUUCUGAGUGGCCACCGACCUAAGUUCCUUGGAACAGGACGUCAUAGAGGGUGAGAAUCCCGUAUGCGGUCGGAAAGGCGCUCUAUACGUAGCUCCUUCGACGAGUCGAGUUGUUUGGGAAUGCAGCUCUAAAUGGGAGGUAAAUUUCUUCUAAAGCUAAAUAUUGGCCAGAGACCGAUAGCGCACAAGUAGAGUGAUCGAAAGAUGAAAAGCACUUUGGAAAGAGAGUUAAAAAGCACGUGAAAUUGUUAAAAGGGAAGGGAUUGCAACCAGACUUGCUCGCGGUGUUCCGCCGGUCUUCUGACCGGUCUACUCGCCGCGUUGCAGGCCAGCAUCGUCUGGUGCCGCUGGAUAAGACUUGAGGAAUGUAGCUCCCUCGGGAGUGUUAUAGCCUCUUGUGAUGCAGCGAGCGCCGGGCGAGGUCCGCGCUUCGGCUAGGAUGCUGGCGUAAUGGUCGUAAUCCGCCCGUCUUGAAACACGGACCAAGGAGUCUAACAUCUAUGCGAGUGUUCGGGUGUCAAACCCCUACGCGUAAUGAAAGUGAACGGAGGUGAGAACCGCAAGGUGCAUCAUCGACCGAUCCUGAUGUCUUCGGAUGGAUUUGAGUAAGAGCAUAGCUGUUGGGACCCGAAAGAUGGUGAACUAUGCCUGAAUAGGGUGAAGCCAGAGGAAACUCUGGUGGAGGCUCGCAGCGGUUCUGACGUGCAAAUCGAUCGUCAAAUUUGGGUAUAGGGGCGAAAGACUAAUCGAACCAUCUAGUAGCUGGUUCCUGCGA